UGGCGGCAUGCCUUCCAUGCAAGUCGAACGGCAGCACGGGUGCUUGCACCUGGUGGCGAGUGGCGAACGGGUGAGUAAUACAUCGGAACGUACCUUAUCGUGAGGGAUAACGCAGCGAAAGUUGUGCUAAUACCGCAUACGCCCUGAGGGGGAAAGCGGGGGACCGUAAGGCCUCGCGCGAUUAGAGCGGCCGAUGUCUGAUUAGCUUGUUGGUGAGGUAAAAGCUCACCAAGGCGAUGAUCAGUAGCUGGUCUGAGAGGACGAUCAGCCACACUGGGACUGAGACACGGCCCAGACUCCUACGGGAGGCAGCAGUGGGGAAUUUUGGACAAUGGGGGCAACCCUGAUCCAGCAAUGCCGCGUGAGUGAAGAAGGCCUUCGGGUUGUAAAGCUCUUUUGUCAGGGAAGAAACAGCNGCUCUAACACAGACUGCGAAUGACGGUACCUGAAGAAUAAGCACCGGCUAACUACGUGCCAGCAGCCGCGGUAAUACGUAGGGUGCGAGCGUUAAUCGGAAUUACUGGGCGUAAAGCGUGCGCAGGCGGUUAUACAAGACAGGCGUGAAAUCCCCGGGCUUAACCUGGGAAUGGCGUCUGUGACUGUAUAGCUAGAGUGUGUCAGAGGGGGGUGGAAUUCCACGUGUAG
rnacentral:rRNA from 1 species